rnacentral:misc_RNA from 1 species
GAUGAAGAACGUAGCGAAAUGCGAUAAGUAAUGUGAAUUGCAGAAUUCAGUGAAUCAUCGAACCUUUGAACGCACAUUGCGCCCGGCAGUACUCUGCCGGGCAUGCCUGUUCGAGCGUCAUUUCAACCCUCAAGCCCUGCUUGGUGUUGGGGUCCCACGGCCGCCGUGGGCCCUGAAAGGAAGUGGCGGGCUCGCUACAACUCCGAGCGUAGUAAUUCAUUAUCUCGCUUAGGGCGUUGGGCGGCGCUCCUGCCGUUAAAGAACCAUCUUUAACUCAAGGUUGACCUCGGAUCAGGUAGGAAUACCCGCUGAACUUAAGCAUAUCAAUAAGCGGAGGA